CUGGUGUACCUGAUAGGAAGCAAAAGCCCCUAACGGUGGCCGGCGCUUCCCCCGGCUUUCUCGUCAGAUCUUGGUCGCUUCCCGCCGCCGCCGCCGCCACGGCCGGUGCCUCUGCCGCAACAAAGGUGCACACAAAAAAACAAAAACAAAUGUGACUCGCCUAUACGAGCAUUCUUGUGGGUAUUUGCCAAAUCAGAGUACACCUUUCUCCAGUUUGGCCUUGCAAAAUGUGUCCGGAUCUGUGAAACAGCGGUCAGGAAAGGAAGCAACCAUGGCGUAUCGAAUCUUAUUGCAGGUAACAGAGGGAGUGAGAAGGGAGGGAGAAAAACCUUGCUGCCGGAGACGAUAUCCACACCAUUUUUUGCGUGUUGGAGCGAUUGAACCAUGGCAAUCAGAGCUGACCUCGCAUCUCCUUCCUCGUACACACUGGUUAGGAGAUCCUUCAGUAUGCUGAUGAAAGGAGUUGCACCGAUUCCAAGGCCAAUAAGAAAAAGGAUGUCGUAUUUCUUGUAAUUUUGAGCUGGUGCGCCGAAAGGGCCAUCAACAAAGAUCUUGGGAAAUCUAAAUAAAGAAAGCCAAGUCACCAAAGUUAGUGCAAUAUCGCCUAAUAUACAUAUCCUCAAGCAAUUCCUUAAGUAAGCUUAAGGUAUAAUCACCUAGUAUUAUCUUCCGCGCCUUCUGCUAUGACUGUGGUCUCAAGUCUUGAUAGUGUAGCCUUCUUGGAAUUUACUUCUUCUUCACAGGCCUGCAUGAAUUAUUAUACUUUUUCAUCAGUUAACUAAAAUAUAGAGUGUAAGCUCCUCACAAGUUGUACUUCUUCUAUGCUCCCUCCUCACUUUUUCUACUGACCUUCCCAAAUAGGUUCCUUAGUUCUGUCGUCCAGUCACCUAAUGUGCGGAUAUGUACACUCAAGUAGUCGUCCCCAGGUGCAGAGGUGAUGGAGAAGGGAUGCCUGCAAACAUUGAAGAAAAUUUUGAAGCCAAAGCCUUGGAAAACUCGUUACUUGGAAAAUAUGGAUGAUGGGAUGGUACCAUUCAAAAGGCGAAACGUCUGGGCAUUUUACAAAGAGGUACAUCCCACUUUUGUAUUUGAAACUUGAUGGCUUCUUCAUGUAAAGAGAGAGAACAUUUCCUGGGUAAAUUGCUGCCUGCAUGACACAUAGAACCAUAAUUACCAGCUCUCUUGUGUACCUGCACUUUACAAUGUAUACUGAGGAAACUUAUAUGUGGUAU